GGACAUGAUACAGAGAAGAUUAGCAUGGCCCCCGUGCAAGGAUGACAUGAAAAUUUGUGUAGUGUUGAAUAUUUUA
rnacentral:snRNA from 1 species